rnacentral:rRNA from 1 species
GUGCCAGCAGCCGCGGUAAGACGAAGGGUCCAAGCGUUAAUCGGAAUCACUGGGCUUAAAGCGUGCGCAGGCGGGCCUGUAAGUACCUUGUGAAAUACCACCGCUCAACGGUGGAAUGGCAGGGUAUACUGCAGGCCUUGAGGCCGGUAGAGGUUGCCGGAACUGUAGGUGUAGCGGUGAAAUGCGUAGAUAUCUACAGGAACACCAAAGACGAAGGUAGGCAACUGGGCCGGUUCUGACGCUCAGGCACGAAAGCGUGGGGAGCAAACAGGAUUAGAUACCCUGGUAGUCCACGCCGUAAACGAUGUGCACUAGAUUCGAGAGGCUCUGACGCCAUUCGGGUCGAAGCAAAAGUGUUAAGUGCACCGCCUGGGGAGUACGGUCGCAAGGCUAAAACUCAAAGGAAUUGACGGGGGCUCACACAAGCGGUGGAGCAUGUGGCUUAAUUCGAAGCAACGCGAAGAACCUUAUCCUGGGUUUGACAUGCACGGAUACCCUCGCCGAAAGGCGAGUAAGUUGCCCAUUCGGGUGAAACGUGCACAGGUGCUGCAUGGCUGUCGUCAGCUCGUGCUGUGAAGUGUUGGGUUAAGUCCCUUAACGAGCGAAACCCCUGUCGCUAGUUGCUAACAGGUCUCCGGACGCUGAGGACUCUAGCGAGACUGCCGGUGUCAAGCCGGAGGAAGGCGGGGAUGACGUCAAGUCCUCAUGGCCUUUAUGCCCAGGGCUGCACACGUGCUACAAUGGCGUGAACAGAGCGACGCAAUACCGUAAGGUGGAGCAAAUCGCAAAAAUCACGCCCCAGUUCGGAUCGAGGUCUGCAACUCGACCUCGGAAGGUGGAAUCGCUAGUAUCGCGCAUCAGC